UCGACACCGCGACGUCGGUUUCGGCUAACGCCGUCACGACAUCCAUGACGUUGGCCUUGCCCUGCGCCAUGGAGACCGUCUGCGCGUCGGACUUGCGGCCCGCGUCCAUCACGCUGCCGAGGGUUUCCUUGAGCAGAGCGCCGAACGACACGCCGCCGGUAUCGCCGGCCUUGGCNNNNNNAAUCCAUGAUUUUCGCAAGGCUUGCAUAGGCAUUGGCAGCGACUGUUGGCGAAGCCAUGAGUUAGUUCUCCUUGUCAGGCCUUGAGAAUGUCGAGGGUGCGCUGGAUCAUGCGGCGCGUGGCGGAGAUGAUGUUGAGGUUGGCUUCGUAGGAUCGCUGCG
rnacentral:misc_RNA from 1 species